CCGGCUUCACUCCCUACGCUGCCCAAGCCCCAGCCCAGCAGGCCGCUUUUUCAUUGAAAGAAUCUGCACUGCCCAGCAGCCCGGUUUGGUCAGUUGAAAUUCACGUUCACCUGUGUUGUGGCCAUACCUGGACCUUACCUGUUUAUGGUGGAAUACCAUCCAUUGGAGCAGGGAAAUUUGAACACAGGCACAGAGGAAAGAAGGUCAUGUGAUGACACAGGCAGAGAUUGGAGUGGUGCAGCUGCAAGCCAAGGAAAGCCAAGGAUUUCCAGCAACCACCUGAAGCUAGAAAGAAGCAAAGAAAGAUAAUUCCCUAGAGCCUUCAAAUAGAGCACAGCCCAACUGACACUUUAACUUUGGACUUCUAUCCUCCAGCAAGAAAUAUUAGAUCACUUAGGAAUGAUAGAAAUAUCUGGUGAUGGAAUUUCAAGAAUGGAACCUCUGGCCGGGCGUGGUGGAGACAGAGUCUCACUCUGCACCGUGCCGGCCAGAUUUUGGUAUUUCUUAUGGGAAACCUGAGUUCCUGCAUUAGAGUUCUGUGGCCUACUGGACAAAGGCUGGGAGUUGCCCCUUACAGGGCUGGGCAGAAGCAGAGACGAUUCAUUCCUGGUCCCACAGAGAUGGCAGGCUUCCAGGACCUGUAUGACACCCCUGGGGACAGGCUGGAUGUCUUCAUAAAACAUCCUUCCAGUCUGCCUUCGUAAAACAGCCUCCAGCCCCAGGGAGACUGGAAGGAUGAAGUGAAGGAUGCCGGGCAUUGAACUGAGCAGUUCUUGAGGGAUCAGUUCUUCUAUAAUGAGCUGAUUCUGGACCAGGAAGUCAGGGUGCUGAAGAUGGCAAAGGUGAGCACUCAGGAACCCCCGGGGUUCAAAUCCCAGCUCUGCCCUGUGGGACUGUGGGGCUGUGGGAUAGGUAAGGGAUGAGUUAUUUUGUCUCUCUGAGCAUCGGUCUCUUCCUCUCUAAAACCGGUUUCUAAUGAACAAUAAAUGGGAUAAAGCAUAGAAAAGUGCUCUUAAGCAGUAAACUAUUCUACAAAUCUGGAUGAUGAUGAUGAUGAUGAU
rnacentral:lncRNA from 10 species